rnacentral:lncRNA from 1 species
GUCGGAGUUAGCUAUGAAUUAAGAAGAUAAAUUGAUCAAAUUAGACACUAUAAUGAAGUUGCAACACUUCCAUCCUGAAGUUGCAACGCUCCGACGAAAGGUGGCGUACGAGCAGAGCCGAGUGAAGUCAGGGAGUCACUACAGAGUCGUCGUGUCGAGCGGACGUGUACUGCCGUUCUAGUCGGGCAGUCUACCGCGAACCAUCGUCAUGAGCGGACGUGUCGAAUAAUUACGAGGAGUGCUAUAGUCGCUUACCUAUAACUUGUAGGGACGUCAAGAAAGUGUGAUCGGAAAAGAGUACCUAGCAAGUACGUUCACAUGUCCCGAUGAUUCGGUCCGAAUAUAGGAACCAUGGGUGGUGGAGGGCAAGUAGAGGGCGAGUAGCCCUUUCGCGCUAACGCCCUUAGGCGCGUUAAAUUACGAGAGACUGUGUAACCGUUACGAAUACCGUGAAGUUGCCGUGAGUGUGUAUCUUAUUCUGUAACUUUAUCUAAUCGUGAUACAAAAACUAUGUGGAAGUAAAUAAAAUGAUUGUGAUACUGAUGACGGCCAUUAUUGUCUUCUAACGCCCACCCUCCAUUAUGAUGAUGAUGUUACGACCGACACCGACCCACUGCUACGACAUCAGAAGCGGGAUUAGUGGACUUGGAUGAAGACAACGUGAUGUGACGUUCACAACAAGACAAUGCAAGUUUCGAUUAUCACAAUCAGAAGAAGAUUAUGAUGAUUAUCACAUUCGUGUGACCACGUGAUGAAGAUGUAGUGUCAUGCCUGAAUUUGGAGAUGGACCUGAAUUUGAAGUGACCUGGACCUUGUUAAUGAUCGACAUCACUACAUGCCGUAAGAUAUGAUGGCGUGAACAUCACAAUAUGUCCAUACUGUGUGCAGUCGUGUUUGAAAAUUAUGGAACCUGAAAUUGAAAACUGUUAUUACGGUGAGUCGUUUUCAUACUGGAACCUUAUUGUUGUUGACUUUAUUGCUAUGUGAAUUUCCGUUUCUAAUAAUGAGGAAAUUGUUUUUUAAAAAAAACAAAAUUGACGAGACACAUUGUGUCAAUCCGUGUCAAUCACACCGCGUUUUCCAAUCUGUUUUCAUCAUCGUAAAAUCUUUGUAUUUUGGUCUAAAAAUAUUUCGAAUUGGUGUAGACACGCUUGACCUGCGUGGUUAAAGUUGUAUUUUCUCACUCCAAGCAAAAAGAAAUUAAUCAUGACAUGAUAAUUGAGUCUCGUUAAAUAACGUGUUUUGUAAUCUACCGUCAUUCAUCAAAUGUUUCAAUAUUCAACAUUCUUUAAUAAUCUUUUUAAACCGAUUGAAAGAAAGUCAUGUGAAUACAAUAACACAGUGAAUUCUUUUGUUUCAUGUCAUAACUUGGUUCGGCAAUUGGUGGAUUGCAAGCGGCGAUGUAAGUGGCGCGGGCUGAGCUGUAGUCGUGUAAAGUGACGACAUCAUGGCAGCGAGUUGUAUACCAGCCGGACUUGCUGCGCUGGUGAAGACCUAAACCAUGUCACAAGACCAGUGGUUGAUCUUUUAUUGGAAAUUCUUAUAAGUCCCGGUGAGUCGUAUUUGUUUUACCUGACUUGAAAGAUGGAAAGUUUUAAUAGGAUACAAACGAAUAUAGUGCAGAAAGUUCUCUUUUGUUAACUUUAGUUAAAUUGGGAAUCGUAAUGAAGUGAAGUAAACAUUCUGAAGUAAAAUGAUUUGGAUUAUGAUUACUUAAAUGAAAUAGGCUUAGAAAAUGCCCGAAACAGUAAAUCAUUAGUGAGAAAAUUGGAGCAAAACAUUCUAAAUGAUGAUCAUACCGAAUCAGUAAUUGUGUAAGUGCGGUAAUAUUUCCUCGAGGUGUUGGUCGCUACACUGUGACUUUAUGACUUGUGUGUGUGAGAGCAGGGUGCUCUGUCGUUUUGUGGUCGUGGACCAUGGUGGCCAUCCCGGGAGGGGAUGUUGUGACUUAUGACUGUUUUGUAGCGUAACCACAGUUUGGGGAGGAAUAUUACAGUCUGUUGUGCUUUGCAGUAGAUGUGUAGUAAUGUUGGUUGAUUUAAUUGAGUAAUGAAAGCUAUGAUUGACCUGUUUCGGAGCAACUCUGAUAGGAAGCUGCGCACUUGUAGUGUUCGGGGCUGCAGCCACUUUUGUGCUGCUCGUCUUAGAAACUACAGGUAUGCGGUCGAGGCCUGGAUGUCAUGUUGACUUUGUAUUUGGUCAUGACAUUGUACCUGAAUCUAAGUCAAGUUGACCUCCGGUAGAAUUAGUCGAACUGCACAAAUUAGAAAUUAGUGAUAUAAAAGAAAUUGUGUAACGCAUUGACCACUAUUCUACCAACUAAAAUGUACGUAAAGUUUGUGUGCUAGCUGUGUUGAGAUAUCGUCACUUGGUGUAAGUGGCAUGAGUUGCUGUCGCUCGAUUUAGGUGGCAGUAACGACUGUGUUGGGAUAUCGUCACUUGGUGUAAGUGGCAUGAGUUGCUGUCGCUCGAUUUAGGUGGCAGCAACGACUGUGUUGAGAUAUCGUCACUUGGUGUAAGUGGCAUGAGUUGCUGUCGCUCGGUUUAGGUGGCAGCAACGACUGUGUUGAGAUAUCGUCACUUGGUGUAAGUGGCAUGAGUUGCUACCGCUCGAUUUAGGUGGUAGUGACGCCUGGUUGUGAGAUAUCGUCACUCAGUAGAGUGGCAUGAGUUGCUACCGCUCGAUUUAGGUGGUAGUGACGCCUGGUUUUGAGAUAUCGUCGCUCAGUAGAGUGGCAUGAGUUACUAUCGCUCGUUUAGGUGAUAGUAACGACCGAUGUGUAAAGAGUAAUUGGAUUUUCAAGUUUGGUUGUUUAUAGUGUGUGAAUACUGGUCAAUGGUCCGUGUAUUGUUAGUUGAUGAUUUAUCAUGAUGUAAUGUGAGCUCAUGUAGAGUCACAAGUAGAGCUCGUGUAGAGUCACAAGUAGAGCUCGUGUAGAGUCACAAGUAGAGCUCGUGUAGAGUCACAAGUAGAGCUCGUGUAGAGUCACAAGUAGAGCUCGUGUAGAGUCACAAGUAGAGUUCGUGUAGAGUCACAAGUAGAGCUCGUGUAGAGUCACAAGUAGAGCUCGUGUAGAGUCACAAGUAGAGUUCGUGUAGAGUCACAAGUAGAGCUCGUGUAGAGUCACAAGUAGAGCUCGUGUAGAGUCACAAGUAGAGCUCGUGUAGAGUCACAAGUAGAGCUCGUGUAGAGUCACAAGUAGAGCUCGUGUAGAGUCACAAGUAGAGCUCGUGUAGAGUCACAAGUAGAGCUCGUGUAGAGUCACAAGUAGAGCUCGUGUAGAGUCACAAGUAGAGCUCGUGUAGAGUCACAAGUAGAGCUCGUGUAGAGUCACAAGUAGAGCUCGUGUAGAGUCACAAGUAGAGCUCGUGUAGAGUCACAAGUAGAGCUCGUGUAGAGUCACAAGUAGAGCUCGUGUAGAGUCACAAGUAGAGCUCAUGUAGAGUUCAUGCAGAGAUCAUGCAGAGUCCUAUAUAGUCUCAUGUUAGGUCAGGAAUGACCGAGCGAACUUGGAUACUGUGCUGUGGUAUAUUGUUUCAGAUUAACACACGAGGACGUGUGUCACGCAGGAUGGCCGUGUCGGAGUUAGCUAUGAAUUAAGAAGAUAAAUUGAUCAAAUUAGACACUAUAAUGAAGUUGCAACACUUCCAUCCUGAAGUUGCAACGCUCCGACGAAAGGUGGCGUACGAGCAGAGCCGAGUGAAGUCAGGGAGUCACUACAGAGUCGUCGUGUCGAGCGGACGUGUACUGCCGUUCUAGUCGGGCAGUCUACCGCGAACCAUCGUCAUGAGCGGACGUGUCGAAUAAUUACGAGGAGUGCUAUAGUCGCUUACCUAUAACUUGUAGGGACGUCAAGAAAGUGUGAUCGGAAAAGAGUACCUAGCAAGUACGUUCACAUGUCCCGAUGAUUCGGUCCGAAUAUAGGAACCAUGGGUGGUGGAGGGCAAGUAGAGGGCGAGUAGCCCUUUCGCGCUAACGCCCUUAGGCGCGUUAAAUUACGAGAGACUGUGUAACCGUUACGAAUACCGUGAAGUUGCCGUGAGUGUGUAUCUUAUUCUGUAACUUUAUCUAAUCGUGAUACAAAAACUAUGUGGAAGUAAAUAAAAUGAUUGUGAUACUGA